GACGAACGCUGGCGGCGUGCUUAACACAUGCAAGUCGAACGGAAAGGCCCCUUUUGGGUGACGCGAGUGGCUGACGGACGAGUAACACGUGAGUAAGCUGCCCUUGCCUUCCGUAGAACUUCAGUAAACUGGGUCGAAUACCUGAUAGGAAUCAUUGCUGCAUGGAGGGGGGUGGAAGGCUUCUGCGGGUGUGGAUGGACGGGCGGCCUAUCAGCCUGUUGGUGGGGUAGUGGCUUACCAAGGCUUUGACGGGUAGGCGGCCCGAGUGGGCGGCCGGCCACAUUGGGACUGGGAUACGGCCCAGACCCCUACGGGGGGGAGGAGGGGGGAAUAUUGCACCAUGGGCGGAAGCCUGAUGCAGCAACGCCGCGUGCGGGAUGACGGGCUUCGGGUUGGAAACCGCUUUCCGCAGGGGAGAAGCUUGUGGUGACGGUACCUGCAGAAGAAGCACCGGCUAACUACGUG
rnacentral:rRNA from 1 species